rnacentral:rRNA from 1 species
GAUGAACGCUAGCUACAGGCUUAACACAUGCAAGUCGAGGGGAAACGAUGAGAGAGCUUGCUCUCUUAGGCGUCGACCGGCGCACGGGUGAGUAACGCGUAUCCAACCUACCCCUUACAGGGGGAUAACCUUGCGAAAGUAAGACUAAUACCCCAUGGCAUUUUAUGGUGGCAUCAUUAUAGGAUUAAAGAUUUAUUGGUAAUGGAUGGGGAUGCGUCUGAUUAGCUUGUUGGCGGGGUAACGGCCCACCAAGGCAACGAUCAGUAGGGGUUCUGAGAGGAAGGUCCCCCACAUUGGAACUGAGACACGGUCCAAACUCCUACGGGAGGCAGCAGUGAGGAAUAUUGGUCAAUGGGCGAGAGCUUGAACCAGCCAAGUAGCGUGCAGGAUGACGGCCCUAUGGGUUGUAAACUGCUUUUAUAGGGGAAUAAAGUGAGCUACGUGUAGUUUAUUGCAUGUACCCGAUGAAUAAGGACCGGCUAAUUCCGUG